rnacentral:sRNA from 1 species
CGGCACUCAAGAUGGUAGGAGAAUGAGCUCCUGUUUCGGAGGUCCGGGGCGCGUGAAGUGCUGGGGAUGUGGCUCUGGGGACUUGGAGGCUCAGCGGCUCCGGGGCUCCGGGGUUCCGGGGCUCGGGAGCGAGUAGUGAGUGACUGGGCCUGCUGUUCCCACAGCUGCGCCGCGAGGCCCGCCUGCGCCGCGAGUACCUGUACCGCAAGGCCCGGGAGGAGGCGCAGCGCUCAGCCCAGGAGAGGAAGGAGCGGCUGCGGCGCGCGCUGGAAGAAAACCGCCUGAUUCCCACUGAGAUACGCCGAGAGGCUCUGGCCUUACAGGGGUCCCUGGAGUUUGAUGAUGCCGGAGGUGAAGGUGUGACCAGCCACGUGGAUGAUGAAUACCGAUGGGCAGGAGUCGAGGAUCCCAAGGUUAUGAUCACUACCUCCCGAGACCCCAGUUCCCGCCUCAAGAUGUUUGCAAAGGAGCUGAAGCUGGUGUUCCCGGGCGCCCAGCGAAUGAACCGAGGUCGACAUGAAGUGGGGGCACUGGUGCGAGCCUGCAAAGCCAACGGCGUCACCGAUCUGCUGGUCGUUCACGAGCAUCGGGGCACACCUGGUGAGGCCGGAGGGAGGGAGUCGGGGUGGGAGCCGUCUGAGGGCAGACGGGGUCUCUGACAGCCACCUUUCCCUGCCAGUGGGGCUCAUCGUCAGCCACCUGCCCUUUGGUCCUACUGCCUACUUCACGCUGUGCAAUGUGGUCAUGCGGCAUGACAUCCCAGACCUGGGCACCAUGUCGGAGGCCAAGCCCCACCUCAUCACACACGGCUUCUCCUCCCGCCUGGGCAAGCGGGUCUCUGACAUCCUCCGAUACUUAUUUCCCGUGCCCAAAGAUGACAGCCACCGGGUCAUUACCUUCGCAAACCAGGACGACUACAUAUCAUUCCGGCACCACGUGUACAAGAAGACAGACCACCGCAACGUGGAGCUCACUGAGGUCGGGCCCCGCUUUGAGCUGAAGCUGUACAUGAUCCGUCUGGGCACGCUGGAGCAGGAGGCCACAGCAGACGUGGAGUGGCGCUGGCACCCUUACACCAAUACCGCACGCAAGAGGGUCUUCCUGAGCGCCGAGUGAGCACACUCACCACUCAGUCAGGACAUGGACUUGGAACUCAGGAUGGGGCUGUCAUAGACAGACCCACCAGUAGGAACUGUCACAGAAUGGCCUGCUGAACUGGGAUGCGGAACUGUGGCGGGUGGAGAGGUCUGAAUAAACCGUCUGUGUCAUGGCCCCGCCUGCCUCUGAGUGGUCAGGCCAAGUCUGCAGGGCAAAGCCCAUGGGAUCCCUUUGGGUGGGGACCUGAUGGCUGUGGGACGUGCUUGGGCCUGGAGUCAGUGUGGGGGUUAACAUAGAGAGAGAUUUGAUGCUAACAUCCCCUCAAGAGUGAGGGUCCUAUGAGCUCUUCAGCAGGCAGAUGUGGGUAGCAGGGCCAGCCUGUGUCAGGGGCAGCCCACCAAGUUAACUCACUGAGUGGAAGCCGCCAGUGUGCCAACGCGGAGGGGACGGGCCACACCCAGUGCUCAGCAGCUGAUUCCUCAUGUAAGUGGCAUCAUGUGGUAUUUGUUCUGUGUCUGGCUUAUUUCUAUUAACAUAAUGUUCUCCAGGUUCCUCCAUGUUAUUGCAAAUGAUAGGAUUUCUUUCCUUGUAAAAAAUAUACAUGCCACAUUUUCUUACCAAUCCAUCCACCAAUAGACACUUAGGUCGUUUUCAUAGUUUGGCAGUUGUGGAAAUGCUGCAGUAAACAUGGGAGUAUAGCUAUCUUUUGAAGAUAAUGAUUUCAUCUCUUUUUUAUAUGUAUACCCAGAAGUGGGAUUGCUGCAUCAAAUGGUGGUUCUAUUUUUAAUUUUUUGAGGAACCGCCAUACUGUUUUCCAUAAAGGCUGUACUAAUUUCCAUUCUCACCAACAGUUCACUAGGGUUCCCUUUUCUCCACAUCGUUGCCAACAUUCUUUAUCUUGUGUUUUUUAAUAACAGCUAUCCUAACAGGUAUGAGGUGAUCUCUCUCAUUGCGGUUUUGAUUUGCAUUUCCCUAACGGUUGGUGAUACUGAGCAUUUUUGCAUAUACCAGGUCAUUUGUUCUUUGUUGUUGACUUGAGUCCCUUAUAUAGUUUGGAUACUGCUGUGGCCUGAAUGUUUGUGUCCCCCAAAAAUUCGUAUAUUGAACUCUCAUCCCUAAGGUCAACAGUUUAGGGAAGCGAUUAGGUCAUGAGGACUCUGCCCUCUUGCAUAGAAUUAGUGCUCUUAUAUAAGAUGCCCGAGGGAGCUCUUUUGCCCCUCCUGCCAUGUGAGGACACAGCUAGAAGCUACCAUCUGUGAACCAGGAAGCCCCCCUCACCAGACACUGAAUCUGCUGGAGCCACCAUCUUGGACUUCCCAGCCUCCAGAGCUGUAAGAAAUAAAUGCCUGUUGUUUAAGCUA